rnacentral:rRNA from 1 species
AACGAACGCUGGCGGCAGGCCUAAUACAUGCAAGUCGAACGAACCUUCGGGUUAGUGGCGCACGGGUGCGUAACGCGUGGGAAUGUACACCUCGGUAAGGAACAACGUCGGGAAACUGACGCUAAUACCUUAUAAUGACUCCGGUCCAAAGAUUCAUCGCCGAGGAACCAGCCCGCGUUAGAUUAGCUAGUUGGUGGGGUAUGGCCUACCAAGGCGACGAUCUAUAGGGGGUCUGAGAGGAUGAUCCCCCACACUGGUACUGAGACACGGACAGACUCCUACGGGAGGCAGCAGUAAGGAAGAUUGGACAAUGGAGGCAACUCUGAUCCAGCCAUGCCGCGUGUGUGAUGAAGGCCUUAGGGUUGUAAAGCACUUUCAAACGUGAAGAUAAUGACGGUAGCGUUAGAAGAAGCUCCGGCUAAAUUCGUGCCAGCCGCCGCCGUAA